GAGCAACCUGCCCCAGGCUUUGGGAUAACCCCGGGAAACCGGGGCUAAUACCGAAUAUGACCUCCGAUCGCAUGGUUGGUGGUGGAAAGUUUUUCGGCUUGGGAUGGGCUCGCGGCCUAUCAGCUUGUUGGUGGGGUGAUGGCCUACCAAGGCGACGACGGGUAGCCGGCCUGAGAGGGCGACCGGCCACACUGGGACUGAGACACGGCCCAGACUCCUACGGGAGGCAGCAGUGGGGAAUAUUGCACAAUGGGCGGAAGCCUGAUGCAGCGACGCCGCGUGAGGGAUGACGGCCUUCGGGUUGUAAACCUCUUUCAGCAGGGACGAAGCGUAAGUGACGGUACCUGCAGAAGAAGCGCCGGCCAACUACGUGCCAGCAGCCGCGGUAAGACGUAGGGCGCGAGCGUUGUCCGGAUUUAUUGGGCGUAAAGAGCUCGUAGGCGGCUUGUCGCGUCGACUGUGAAAACCCGCAGCUCAACUGCGGGCCUGCAGUCGAUACGGGCAGGCUAGAGUUCGGUAGGGGAGACUGGAAUUCCUGGUGUAGCGGUGAAAUGCGCAGAUAUCAGGAGGAACACCGGUGGCGAAGGCGGGUCUCUGGGCCGAUACUGACGCUGAGGAGCGAAAGCGUGGGGAGCGAACA
rnacentral:rRNA from 1 species